rnacentral:lncRNA from 1 species
CUGUUUAAUUUUGAACAGAUAUAUCAUGUUAAGGAGGGGUAUUUUUCGCAAAUACUCCUCAAUAACAUGAUAUAUCUGUUUAAUUACACCGAAUGUUAAUGUUCUAAAACGCAUUGAUGAUCGUGACGUUACAAGCGUCCAGUCGGAUAGAGUAUUUUUUGGCAAAUACCACGGCAGAGAGGGUAAAAAAGGCAUAUCCUUUUAGCAAAUACCCCGGCGGCGUUAAAAAUGAACGAUAUUCAUUUGAUAACAGUAAAUUGGUGAAAAAUACACUGGCUAUUAACCAAUCAAAACCCCGGAUUCUUACAUAAGGUGUUAUUAUGCAAAAAA